rnacentral:lncRNA from 1 species
CAAUGAUAUCAGGUGUGUAAUCAUUAAUCCAAACAGUUGCAACUAGAACUAGAGUUUCUAUUGGACAAAUUCAGGACAAGGUCACAUCUUGCACACAUCUGAACAGCUCGAGCUUUAGAGCAAUGAACCAUUUGUUUGGAUGGACAAGGCUCAUGCUGCUAUAUUUCGUCAAUUAUGUUCUCUGUGCUUCCCAGCAAACAGUAAAGUCUGAGACUCAGCAGGUGAAAGGCAUUGUGGGACAGUCUUUAUCUUUUCCAGAGAGAGUGUUUAAAACUGGAUAUUUAAGGUAUGGAGAAGACACUACUGCAAGUGUGAUGAAUGGACAAAGCCAUGUAGAUUUAGAAGAGAGAUUUAAAAAUCGCGUUCACUGGGACAAUGUAACAGGAUUAUUCAGUCUGUCAGACCUACAGAUAGAAGAUGCUGGGGUUUAUUCUGUGGAGAAUAAAGACGGAGAGAAUUGGAUACCUAAAUUUAACCUCACUCUUUACUGUAAGUAUGUGCGUGUGUGUGCGUGUGUGUGUGUGCGUGUGUGCUAUAUUACAAAAACAUGAAAUAUAAGUUCCAUUCCUCCAAUGUAUUUACUAUUUGUCUUCCAGAUGUUGUUUCCAAACCUCAGGUGACAGAGUGUGACAGCAGCUCCUGUAGUGUAGUGUGUUCUGUGGACAACAAAAAAGAGGUUACCUUGACCUUGUACAGGGGAGAGGAAAUACUAAACCAGACCAGCAGUCCUGACCUCACCACCGAUCUAUCUCUCCGUUUGGAGGUAGAGGGAAAGGACUACAACUCCACCUACAGCUGUGUGGCUGCUAACCCUGUCAGCAAUGAGACAGUUCUUGUCCCAAAAUGUUGCAGUGAAGAUGGUCAUCCCAAGGAGACAGACAGUGAUGGGAUGACUCGGGGUAUGCUUAUUAUUGCUGUAAUCUGCGUUUUGGUUGCCUCAGGGCUGGUUGGACUUGCAAUCAAUCUAAAGCAGAGGGGAAAUGAACACUCACAAGGCAGGUAUUAA